rnacentral:snRNA from 1 species
CAGUGUUGUUUCUCUUUUUAAAUUUCUCCAGUAGGGCUUUUGAUUCUGAGCUGGAGCUCCGCA